rnacentral:rRNA from 1 species
GAUGAACGCUAGCGGCAGGCUUAACACAUGCAAGUUGAGGGGCAGCAUGAACAAUAGCAAUAUUGUUUGAUGGCGACCAGCGCACGGGUGCGUAACACGUAUGCAAUCUACCUUAUACUGGGGCAUAACUCCGAGAAAUCGGUGCUAAUUCCCCAUAACACUACAGAGUGGCAUCACUCCAUAGUUAAAGUUCCGGCGGUAUAAGAUGAGCAUGCGUCCAAUUAGCUAGUUGGUGAGGUAACGGCUCACCAAGGCUACGAUUGGUAGGGGUUCUGAGAGGAUGAUCCCC